rnacentral:rRNA from 1 species
GACGAACGCUGGCGGCGUGCUUAACACAUGCAAGUAGAACGAUGAAGCUGGAGCUUGCUCUGGCGGAUUAGUGGCGAACGGGUGAGUAACACGUGAGAAAUCUGCCCUUGACUCUGGGAUAACUGCGUGAAACUGUAGCUAAUACCGGAUGCUUUCCCUGGUGGGCAUCCACUGGGGAAGAAAGAAUUUCGGUCAAGGAUGAUCUCGCGGCCUAUCAGCUUGUUGGUGAGGUCAUGGCUCACCAAGGCGACGACGGGUAGCCGGCCUGAGAGGGUGACCGGCCACACUGGGACUGAGACACGGCCCAGACUCCUACGGGAGGCAGCAGUGGGGAAUAUUACACAAUGGGCGCAAGCCUGAUGCAGCGACGCCGCGUGAGGGAUGACGACCAUCGGGUUGUAAACCUCUUUAAGAAAAGACGAAGCGCAAGUGACGGUAUGUGCAGAAGAAGGACCGGCCAACUACGUGCCAGCCGCCGCAGUAA